rfam:Verticillium longisporum isolate VL1 genome assembly, contig: scaffold_385
GGGGGGAUGGCGCAGUUGGGAGCGCGUUAGACUGAAGUCAACUUCAGGAAGUCAAUCUAAAGGUCGCUGGUUCGAUCCCGGCUCACCCCA